GAAGCUCAGUGGCAGAGCAUCUGCCUUUCAUUCCAAAGGUCCCAGGUUCAAUCCCGGGCAUCUCCU